rnacentral:tRNA from 1 species
CCCGGGCGACGCCGAAAAGUCCUGAAACGGGCUGUUAACCCGCAGGUUGCGAGUUCGAGUCUCGCCCCCGGAG